rnacentral:tRNA from 1 species
AGAGUAUAGCUCAGUAGUAGAGUGCGUGCUUAGCAUGCAUGAGGUCCUGGAGUCAAUCCCCAGUAACUCCA